UACGGGGGGGGCAAGCGUUGUUCGGAAUUACUGGGCGUAAAGGGCUCGCAGGUGGCCAACUAAGUCAGUGGUGAAAUCUCCGGGCUUAACCCGGAAACUGCCAUUGAUACUAUUUGUCUUGAAUACUGUGGAGGUCAGCGGAAUAUGUCAUGUAGCGGUGAAAUGCUUAGAUAUGACAUAGAACACCAAUUGCGAAGGCAGCUGGCUACACAAAUAUUGACACUGAGGCACGAAAGCGUGGGGAUCAAACAGG
rnacentral:rRNA from 1 species